GCCUUUGACCAAAAAAAUAUACAUUUCUUUUAAAAGAAGAGGUACCAAUAAAUUGAACUCUAAUUUCUUGCUCUCCAAACAAAGCUUGGAUACACCUAUUCAAUGUGCACAAAGAAAACAAAGUUAUUUGCUUAUUACAUAUUAACAUCAUAAACAAAUUGAAACUUACAAGUGAAUACAUUUUCAUAUACAGUAGUUGCAUUAAAAGUUAAACCAAUAUAUCAUUCACAAUCAAUUAACUUGUGCUCUUCCAUUGAAGUUGCUACAGAAAUGUCUCGGCAAUAUUAAUUAAAUCUGAAUGCUCGCUUAGCUGAGUCCAGCAUGUUAGAAAGAAGUAUAGAGGUUAUCACAGGUCCCACACCUCCUGGCACAGGUGUAAUGGCUGACGCUACCUUCAGUCCUUCACUGCUUCUUCAUAACAAACAUCUCCCACAACUCGAAAUCCAUGAUGGCAAGAAGGGUCCUACAAAUUAUAACAUCAUCCAAUACAUUUGGUAGCAUGAAGAAUGUUCAAGACUCUUAGGCCUGUUUUAUGAAGCCAAAACUGGUUAUUUGUGGAUAAAGAAUAGACGCCACAAGUAAAUUGUUAGUGCACAAGACAGACUUAGAUGCAUGUAUCGCCUAUAUGGUGUGAGCUAUUAAAGACUGACCAUGUAUGGCACGCAUUUGUGCCUACAAAGUCCAAGCAACAAACAUUGAACCUCAAUUAUCAUACCAUGCAAUGAAAUUAUGCUAAUUAGUUCUGCUAAAAAACAUAAGGAAACCACAAGAACAGGGUGACAAAAUCAUUGUGCACCCAUUGAUAAAUGGUAACCACUAAUCAGAGGGUGCAUGAUGCGCAAUCUAUUUGUGUGGUUUCUUGGGUGAAAUACACUUUUUCCAUGCUACUUUAUUUGGCUGAAAAACAUCAGAUAUUAUUUUCCAGCUAUGGCAUACAAUUUGAUAUUAAAAAAUAUGCCCAUGUAUAAAAGCAACAGAAAUGGCAAAAUUUGUCUUGAUUCCCCCCAAAAAAGUACAAAAAUGUAAGUACUUGCCUUAAUUGAAUUUGUCCCAGUGUCAAUUACAAUUGCUCCCGGUUUUAACCAGCUGCCUCGAACCACAUUAGGAAUCCAAUAUCUGAGACUACAAUAUCAGCUUCACAAGUUAUCUGCACUGGUUGCUUAGUAAAUGCAUGUACACUGCUGACUGUUGCAUGGUGCCUCUGCUCAUAAACAACUCAUUACAAAUAUAGACAAUGAAGAUAUCAUUUUGCACAGCAAAUCAAUAUACUACCUGCAAGAGCAAAGAAGUGGGCAAACCGACAAUCUUGCUUCUUCCAAUGACCACUGCCUUCUUUCCAGUGAUUUCCACCCCAUGUCUAAGCAACAACUCAAUGCAACCCUUGGAGGCACAGGGAAUGAAGAAGGGCUCCCUAUCCCUCAUGGCAAGGUUACCCAUAUUGAGGGGAUGGAAGCCAUCCACAUCUUUUUCUGGACUGACACAAUUUAUGACCUUUUCCUCGUCCAAAUGCUUCAUCAACAUUUUCAUUUGACAAUAUAAUAAAGUUAGCACUGCCUUACAUCCAGCCUAACGCUAUUAUCCCAAAGAUGCACGCAUUAGACAAUUUAAGAUCCAGUGCCAGUGGUUUCAAUCAUGAGAAAAAGGAACUUCACUCUAGGGGUUUGAAUGAUCCUACAGUGCUAAGAAAUAAAAGAUUUACAUUAUUAGAGUUACCAGUCACUAAACAACAUAUAGAAAAUAUAGACCACAAGAUAAGAUUUAAUAAGCAAAACCAAUUAACUUGCAGGUCCUUAUGCAUGCGUACCCACCACACACAUAAUUAGACAAAAAGUAUUAACUCUUAUAAUAGAAUUUUGCAAAACCGAAACAUCUAUGAUUCUUAGCUCCAGUGUUAAAUUGAUAACCAGGGGAAAAAAAAAGAAAAGAAAAGCAGAAAGCAGAAAGCAAGAAAAUUACUUGAGGUAAGGGAAGUUGUAUGAUAAUACCAUGUACAGAGGGGUUCUGGUUAAAACUUGAAAUAACAUGAAGAAUUUCAUCCUCUGUACAAUCCUCAGGGAGUUCUGCUGUUAAAGAUGCUAUUCCAACUUCAUCACAGGCGUUCAACUUGAUGCGUAAGAAAGUAUGGGAAUCCCUUCUCUUACCCACUAGAACAACAGCCAAUACUGGAGAUUUUCCUAUGGCAGCUUUCAUGUUGCAUAUUUGGACAGCUAUUUGGGAUUUUAUAUCUUCUGCUAUUGACUUUCCAUUAAUUAGAGUAGCAACCUGACCAUUUGCUGUUUGAAUAGGUCAGUCUUUUAAAAGACAAAAGAACAAACUAAAACAGCCCAAAAUUAGUAAUUAUGCAAAUGCAUUCCUACCAGAUAACCAAUCAAAUCCAAAGCUAAAGAUAAGAGCGAGUGAAUAAUUGAUACUAACAGUGAAACCCGGAAGAAUGGGGACGGACACAGCCACUGGGAACCCAAAAGUAAGGAUGGUUGUGGCCCAGGAUAGGAAUGGAAACAGGAUUCCAAGACGAAUAUGAUAAUGAAAGAAAUGGGAUUCGCUUUCCCAACAUGCGCUUUAUGUUAGCCAGGACUGCCACAACUCCCAUCUAUCUUCAGUUCAGACUUCAGUUCGGUGGCGUCUCUCUGCGCUUUGCAGCAUCCGGCAACCAGUAGCAUCCCCAGAGCCAGGCGAUUAUCGUAAUUCCACUAUCCUAAUCUCUCUUCUCAACUUCUAAUGUACGCCCAUUUGGGCUUUCUUUUCUCGGCCCAUAUAA
rnacentral:misc_RNA from 1 species